AAGAGACAGCAGUCGCCGCGGGAAUACAGAGGGUGCGAGCGUUAAUCGGAUUUACUGGGCGUAAAGCGUGCGUAGGCGGCUUCUUAAGUCGGAUGUGAAAUCCCUGAGCUUAACUUAGGAAUUGCAUUCGAUACUGGGAAGCUAGAGUAUGGGAGAGGAUGGUAGAAUUCCAGGUGUAGCGGUGAAAUGCGUAGAGAUCUGGAGGAAUACCGAUGGCGAAGGCAGCCAUCUGGCCUAAUACUGACGCUGAGGUACGAAAGCAUGGGGAGCAAACAGGAUUAGAUACCCGAGUAGUCCCUGUCUCUUAUAA
rnacentral:rRNA from 1 species